rnacentral:tRNA from 1 species
GAGGGUAUAGCUCAAGAAGUAGAGCACAUGCUUAGCAUGCACGAGGUCCUGGGUUCAAUCCACAGUACCUCCC